rnacentral:lncRNA from 1 species
CGCCAGCAGCAAGGGAGUCGCCGGUGCGGGAGCCUGCCUUGGCCUUCAUCCUGCCGCCAGCAGCAAGGGAGUCGCCGGUGCGGGAGCCUGUCUUGGCCUUCAUCCUGCCGCUGGCCGCCUACCUGCAGCAACAACCACCAAUGCAAACGAUUAGAGCCCGCAGAAGCCAAGAACACGGGGAACAACCCGAUCUUGAAUCUCUGAUGAACUGGCCGGGAAAUGCAGGGGUGGGAGCAGGCGGGCGCUGCGUGUGCUUGGUGGGUGGAUUCACCGGGUCUGCAUGAGGAAUCCUGGUCCAGAUCGGCGUGGGCACGGCCGUCGCCGGACUGGGAGCGCCUUCGCGAUCUGGGGCCGGACUAGGUGAGGGUCGCCGACGGUGGGGGUGAGGAUCGGAGCGGCAGCGGAUCAAAGUCGGAGAGAGAGGUUGGGGGCGGCGGCUUCCCCUCUCGGAGGAGUUCUCCAGAUCGGAGCGAGGGAGNNN